rnacentral:rRNA from 1 species
UACGAAGGGGGGCUAGCGUUGUUCGGAAUUACUGGGCGUAAAGCGCGCGCAGGCGGUCUUCCGAGUCAGUGGUGAAAGCCCGGAGCUCAACUCCGGAAUUGCCAUUGAAACUGUUAGACUUGAGGAUGAGAGAGGUGAGUGGAAUUCCCAGUGUAGAGGUGAAAUUCGUAGAUAUUGGGAAGAACACCGGUGGCGAAGGCGGCUCACUGGCGUCAGUACUGACGCUCAGGCGCGGAUAGCGUGGGGAGCAAACAGG